UACGGAGGGGGCUAGCGUUGUUCGGAAUUACUGGGCGUAAAGCGCGCGUAGGCGGCUUUGUAAGUUAGAGGUGAAAGCCCGGAGCUCAACUCCGGAAUUGCCUUUAAGACUGCAUCGCUAGAACGUCGGAGAGGUAAGUGGAAUUCCGAGUGUAGAGGUGAAAUUCGUAGAUAUUCGGAAGAACACCAGUGGCGAAGGCGACUUACUGGACGACUGUUGACGCGUGAGGUGCGAAAGCGUGGGGAGCAAACAGG
rnacentral:rRNA from 1 species